UACGUAGGGUGCAAGCGUUAAUCGGAAUUACUGGGCGUAAAGCGUGCGCAGGCGGCUUUGCAAGACAGAUGUGAAAUCCCCGGGCUCAACCUGGGAACUGCAUUUGUGACUGCAAGGCUAGAGUACGGUAGAGGGGAUGGAAUUCCGCGUGUAGCAGUGAAAUGCGUAGAGAUGUGGAGGAAUACCGAUGGCGAAGGCAGCCCCCUGGGAUAACACUGACGCUCAUGCACGAAAGCGUGGGGAGCAAACAGG
rnacentral:rRNA from 1 species